CAACAUACAGUAAUAAUCCGAAAUAAAUAUGUAAAGGCAAUUUAGGUUAGAAAAUUCCAAUUUUCUUCUAUGAAUGAGUAAGGAAGAAAGUGCUAGCGAAGGCCUAUAAAAGCUUUGAUACUAUUUGUGAACUAUGCCAUACAAGACAUUAUCCUGACAGGGCUAAGAAAACACAUGCAACAGAUUCUUCUUGUAGAGCCAAAGACCAUCUGGAAAGCUGUAUUACAAGGAAAGGAAUAAAAUUACUGUGAAUCUUUUCUGGAUAAAGGUCAAGGACAUCCUUACCACUGAAAGAAGCACCAUGUGACCCUCAGAAGGCAAAGCUUUAAGUGCGUUUCUACUUCACCUGUGAGAAGAUCUAAUGUAUUUCAUCAUUAGACUCCUGCGGAAAUAUACAACGAAAGUAGGGGAUCUGUUACUGCAUAUACCUGUGCCCGCUCAGCUACAACCCAACAAGUCUGAUCCUGAGAUACAAAUGCUACAUCAGAAACGGAGUCACUGGAAAAGCAAAAGAAGUGAAAGAAAAGAUGAAGCCUCUCAGCUUGGAAAUGCAUGUUUCGAAGCACCAUGUGUACCCCAUUCUCUCCUUCACAGAUGAACUUCCAGGUCACGGAAAUAGUGAACGAGCCUCCGAAGCCUCUUUAUGUGCCUGGCUCCUUUGGACCUGAGUGGGUUUAAUUAAUGCCCACUGUACAUAUUAGUUUCCUGUUGCUGCUGUAACAAAUUACCACAAACCUUUA
rnacentral:lncRNA from 1 species